rnacentral:sRNA from 1 species
UACGUUCCUCAGCAGUGCCAGAUCUAUU